rnacentral:rRNA from 1 species
AUUGAACGCUGGCGGCAGGCCUAACACAUGCAAGUCGAGCGAGCGGCGGACGGGUGAGUAAUGCCUGGGAAACUGCCCGAUGGAGGGGGAUAACUACUGGAAACGGUAGCUAAUACCGCAUACCAUUAGCAGUGCCCAGAUGGGCUUAGCUAGUAGGUGGGGUAACGGCUCACCUAGGCGACGAUCCCUAGCAGGUCUGAGAGGAUGACCAGCCACGCUGGAACGGAGACACGGUCCAGACUCCUACGGGAGGCAGCAGUGGGGAAUAGUGCACAAUGGGCGCAAGCCUGAUGCAGCCAUGCCGCGUGUGUGAAGAAGGCCUUCGGGUUGUAAAGCACUUUCAGCGGGGAGGCGGUACACAAAGAAGAAGCACCGGCUAACUCCGUGCCAGCAGCCGCGGUAAUUC